rnacentral:rRNA from 1 species
GACGAACGCUGGCGGCGUGCUUAACACAUGCCAGUCGAACGGAAAGGCCCUGCUUUUGUGGGGUGCUCGAGUGGCGAACGGGUGAGUAACACGUGAGUAACCUGCCCUUGACUUUGGGAUAACUUCAGGAAACUGGGGCUAAUACCGGAUAGGAGCUCCUGCUGCAUGGUGGGGGUUGGAAAGUUUCGGCGGUUGGGGAUGGACUCGCGGCUUAUCAGCUUGUUGGUGGGGUAGUGGCUUACCAAGGCUUUGACGGGUAGCCGGCCCGAGAGGGUGACCGGCCACAUUGGGACUGAGAUACGGCCCAGACUCCUACGGGAGGCAGCAGUGGGGAAUAUUGCACAAUGGGCGGAAGCCUGAUGCAGCAACGCCGCGUGCGAGAUGACGGCCUUCGGGUUGUAAACCGCUUUCGCCUGUGACGAAGCGUGAGUGACGGUAAUGGGUAAAGAAGCACCGGCUAACUACGUG